ACUACGGGAGGCAGCAGUGAGGAAUAUUGGUCAAUGGACGAGAGUCUGAACCAGCCAAGUAGCGUGAAGGAUGACUGCCCUAUGGGUUGUAAACUUCUUUUAUAAGGAAUAAAACGAGGCACGUGUGCCUUUUUGCAUGUACUUUAUGAAUAAGGAUCGGCUAACUCCGUGCCAGCAGCCGCGGUAAUACGGGGGGUCCGAGCGUUAUCCGGUUUUAUUGGGUUUAAAGGGAGAGUAGAUGGGUUGUUAAGUCAGUUGUGAAAGUUUGCGGGUCAAACGUAAAAUUGAAAGUGAUACUGGCAGUCUUGAGUACAGUAGAGGUAGGCGGAAUUCGUGGUGUAGCGGUGACAUGCUUAGAUAUCACGAAGAACCCCGAUUGCGAAGGCAGCUUACUAAACUGUGACUGACAUUGAUGCUCGAAAGUGUGGGUAUCAAACAGGAUUAGAUACCCUAGUAGUC
rnacentral:rRNA from 1 species